rnacentral:lncRNA from 1 species
UUCCGGUUAAGAGCAUGCUGUGCGCGAUUGGUUGUUGCUUCUCACCGGUGUGUGUUGUAAGUGACUGUGUUUAGAAUUUUGUCAUUAUAACACUAUAUGUGUAAAGUGUAUCUUUAUGUUGAUUUUAGCUUUGUUUGAAGUUAAACAGCAGGGUAUUAGAAUCAGGGAUGAAGAUGUUUAACAGUAGAAGCUAAAUUGAAGCUCUGGGUAAGACUGAACAUCUGAGCUUCAUUAGAAUUAGCUGCUAACCACUGCGCUAAGCGCUAGCUCUUUCACUGUUCAGAGUGUCCUAUGUGUACCAGGAAUACACAAUACAAGGCUAAUAUGCUAAUAUGGCUAAUAUGAUGGUGAUCAGUGGCUUCUGGCUGAAGUUACAUCCACAUUCAAUGGAAGAGACCCCGCCCACAUAUCCCACAGAUGUGAGGAGCUCAGAACAGCAGUUGCUGGUUUAGAAAGGAAAGCUGAGUGGAGAAGAGGAACCCGGAACUCAGACCUCGCUAAUGGAAAACCAAUGUGCUCCCAGUAACCCCAGUCCACUGAACCGCCUCCGGACCCUGAACCUCCAGCCCAGAACCAGCAGAUGAUCCGGUGAAGCUUCAGUCCGGGGGACAAGAAUCAGCCAUGAGAUCAUUUCACAGCACAACAUCUGCACAAACAAUCAGUACCAACCACAUUCAGCAGAACUAAAGUCAUAUUCUGUUCUGUAUUUAAUCCAGAUAGUUUCUGUGAUUAAUCUACAGUUACAGUAGAUACAGAAUCACCAGCACUGUAAUCUGUUGUACCCGUACUGCUCUGUAAUUAAUCUACAGUUACAUUAGAUACAGAAUCACCAGCACUGUAAUCUGUUGUACCCCUACUGCUCUGUAAUUAAUCUACAGUUACAGUAGAUACAGAAUCACCAGCACUGUAAUCUGUUGUACUCAUACUGCUCUGUAAUUAAUCUACAAGCCAUAAUCCUGACCAAUAAAAUAAAUAAACUCUUAUAAAUAG